UACGGAGGGUGCAAGCGUUAUCCGGAUUUACUGGGUUUAAAGGGUGUGUAGGCGGGCUUUUAAGUCAGUGGUGAAAAUCUUUCCGCUUAACGGAAAAACUGCCAUUGAUACUAUUAGUCUUGAAUAUUGUUGAGGUAGGCGGAAUAAGUCAUGUAGCGGUGAAAUGCAUAGAUAUGACUUAGAACACCAAUUGCGAAGGCAGCUUACUAAACAAUGAUUGACGCUGAGGCACGAAAGCGUGGGGAUCAAACAGG
rnacentral:rRNA from 1 species